UUGUAAAUUUGACAAGCUGAACGCAUUCUGUACUGUACAGGAAACCCAGCACAAGAUUGGACGCAGAACAUAAUGCGCUGUGCAAACAAAAACAAAAACAAACUAUGCAAAAUUGCACCAAAAAACAUUUGCGAAACAGUGAACCACAUUAGGUGAACCACAUUAUAGCAAGGGGCCGCUGUAACUCAUACGCUGCAGAAGAAAUUGUGCGUUACUAAUUUAGGAGGUAAGGGUGGCUUGGGGAGGUAAGGUGCAAUGAGGAGGGAAGUGACGGAAGUGACGGACAAGAGUUUAGAGGCUCUCCAAGAUUACAUCGAUCAGUGCUUCCAGGAUCUCGUAAUGAAGAAGGCUCAGAGUGCCUCUUCCCCGGCCAAAUCUGAGACGCCGUUAUCAAAAAGAUGUCGCCCGGCAGAUUCCCCCGGCACAACAUCGCCAGCCGGCAAAGAUAUUGCAGACAUCCUUGAACGAUUGUCUAGUUUCGAUACAAGGCUGUCCUUGGUGGAGAUUCUACACUGGGAAUUUAAAUCCUUGCAAGAAUCCCUGGAGUUCAGCCAGCAGCAGGUGGAAACGCUCGCUGCUGAAAAUGCCAUGUUAACGGAGUCGGUGAAAUGUCUCACUGAAAAUGUUACCCAGCUAAAUAGAA